AAUCCAUAGGUUAAUGAGGCGAACCGGGGGAACUGAAACAUCUAAGUACCCCGAGGAAAAGAAAUCAACCGAGAUUCCCCCAGUAGCGGCGAGCGAACGGGGAGGAGCCCAGAGCCUGAAUCAGCAUGUGUGUUAGUGGAAGCGUCUGGAAAGGCGCGCGAUACAGGGUGACAGCCCCGUACACAAAAGCGCAUGUGCUGUGAGCUCGAUGAGUAGGGCGGGACACGUGGUAUCCUGUCUGAAUAUGGGGGGACCAUCCUCCAAGGCUAAAUACUCCUGACUGACCGAUAGUGAACCAGUACCGUGAGGGAAAGGCGAAAAGAACCCCGGCGAGGGGAGUGAAAAAGAACCUGAAACCGUGUACGUACAAGCAGUGGGAGCACCCUUUGGGUGUGACUGCGUACCUUUUGUAUAAUGGGUCAGCGACUUAUAUUCUGUAGCAAGGUUAACCGAAUAGGGGAGCCGGAGGGAAACCGAGUCUUAAUUGGGCGUUAAGUUGCAGGGUAUAGACCCGAAACCCGGUGAUCUAGCCAUGGGCAGGUUGAAGGUUGGGUAACACUAACUGGAGGACCGAACCGACUAAUGUUGAAAAAUUAGCGGAUGACCUGUGGCUGGGGGUGAAAGGCCAAUCAAACCGGGAGAUAGCUGGUUCUCCCCGAAAGCUAUUUAGGUAGCGCCUCGUGAAUUCAUCUCCGGGGGUAGAGCACUGUUUCGGCUAGGGGGCCAUCCCGGCUUACCAACCCGAUGCAAACUGCGAAUACCGGAGAAUGUUAUCACGGGAGACACACGGCGGGUGCUAACGUCCGUCGUGAAGAGGGAAACAACCCAGACCGCCAGCUAAGGUCCCAAAGUCAUGGUUAAGUGGGAAACGAUGUGGGAAGGCCCAGACAGCCAGGAUGUUGGCUUAGAAGCAGCCAUCAUUUAAAGAAAGCGUAAUAGCUCA
rnacentral:rRNA from 1 species